UACGAAGGGGACUAGCGUUGUUCGGAAUUACUGGGCGUAAAGCGCACGUAGGCGGAUUUGUAAGUCAGGGGUGAAAUCCCGGGGCUCAACCUCGGAACUGCCUUUGAUACUGCGAAUCUUGAGUCCGAUAGAGGUGGGUGGAAUUCCUAGUGUAGAGGUGAAAUUCGUAGAUAUUAGGAAGAACACCGGUGGCGAAGGCGGCCCACUGGAUCGGUACUGACGCUGAGGUGCGAAAGCGUGGGGAGCAAACAGG
rnacentral:rRNA from 1 species